GUGGGGAAUUUUGGACAAUGGGGGCAACCCUGAUCCAGCCAUGCCGCGUGAGUGAAGAAGGCCUUCGGGUUGUAAAGCUCUUUCGGACAGAAAGAAAAGGUUACUGAUAAUACCAGUAACUGAUGACGGUACUGUAAGAAGAAGCACCGGCUAACUACGUGCCAGCAGCCGCGGUAAUACGUAGGGUGCGAGCGUUAAUCGGAAUUACUGGGCGUAAAGCGUGCGCAGGCGGUUUCGUAAGACAGAUGUGAAAUCCCCGGGCUUAACCUGGGAACUGCAUUUGUGACUGCGAGACUAGAGUGUAGCAGAGGGGGGUAGAAUUCCACGUGUAGCAGUGAAAUGCGUAGAGAUGUGGAGGAAUACCGAUGGCGAAGGCAGCCCCCUGGGCUAACACUGACGCUCAUGCACGAAAGCGUGGGGAGCAAACAGGAUUAGAAACCCGUGUAGUCC
rnacentral:rRNA from 1 species